rnacentral:rRNA from 1 species
UGCAAGUCGAACGAUGAAGCCCAGCUUGCUGGGUGGAUUAGUGGCGAACGGGUGAGUAACACGUGAGUAACCUGCCCUUGACUCUAGGAUAAGCCCGGGAAACUGGGUCUAAUACUGGAUAGGAACGUCUACCGCAUGGUGGGUGUUGGAAAGAAUUUCGGUCAUGGAUGGACUCGCGGCCUAUCAGCUUGUUGGUGAGGUAAUGGCUCACCAAGGCGACGACGGGUAGCCGGCCUGAGAGGGUGACCGGCCACACUGGGACUGAGACACGGCCCAGACUCCUACGGGAGGCAGCAGUGGGGAAUAUUGCACAAUGGGCGAAAGCCUGAUGCAGCGACGCCGCGUGAGGGAUGACGGCCUUCGGGUUGUAAACCUCUUUCAGUAGGGAAGAAGCGAAAGUGACGGUACCUGCAGAAGAAGCACCGGCUAACUACGUGCCAGCAGCCGCGGUAAUACGUAGGGUGCGAGCGUUAUCCGGAAUUAUUGGGCGUAAAGAGCUCGUAGGCGGUUUGUCGCGUCUGUCGUGAAAGUCCGGGGCUUAACCCCGGAUCUGCGGUGGGUACGGGCAGACUAGAGUGCAGUAGGGGAGACUGGAAUUCCUGGUGUAGCGGUGGAAUGCGCAGAUAUCAGGAGGAACACCGAUGGCGAAGGCAGGUCUCUGGGCUGUAACUGACGCUGAGGAGCGAAAGCAUGGGGAGCGAACAGGAUUAGAUACCCUGGUAGUCCAUGCCGUAAACGUUGGGCACUAGGUGUGGGGAACAUUCCACGUUUUCCGCGCCGCAGCUAACGCAUUAAGUGCCCCGCCUGGGGAGUACGGCCGCAAGGCUAAAACUCAAAGGAAUUGAC